rnacentral:rRNA from 1 species
GCUUGUCUCAAAGAUUAAGCCAUGCAUGUCUAAGUAUAAAUGCUAUACAAUGAAACUGCGAAUGGCUCAUUAAAACAGUUAUAGUUUAUUUGGUAAUACACUUACAUGGAUAACCGUGGUAAUUCUAGAGCUAAUACAUGCUGUUAAGCCUGACUUCUUGAAGGGCUGUAUUUAUUAGACUUAAGCCAAUAUUCCUUGUGUCUAUUGCGAUGAUUCAUAAUAACUGAUCGAAUCUCAAAUUUGAGAUAAAUCAUUCAAGUUUCUGCCCUAUCAGCUUUCGAUGGUAGUGUAUUGGACUACCAUGGCAGUAACGGGUAACGAAGAAUUAGGGUUCGAUUUCGGAGAGGGAGCAUGAGAAACGGCUACCACAUCUAAGGAAGGCAGCAGG